UACGGGGGGAGCAAGCGUUGUUCGGAUUUACUGGGCGUAAAGGGCGCGUAGGCGGCCAGCACAAGUCAGUUGUGAAAUCUCCGAGCUUAACUCGGAACGGUCAACUGAUACUGUGCGGCUAGAGUGCGGAAGGGGCAACUGGAAUUCUUGGUGUAGCGGUGAAAUGCGUAGAUAUCAAGAGGAACACCUGCGGCGAAGGCGGGUUGCUGGGACGACACUGACGCUGAGGCGCGAAAGCCAGGGGAGCGAACGGG
rnacentral:rRNA from 1 species